rnacentral:rRNA from 1 species
GGGUUGUGAGGUUAAGCGACUAAGCGUACACGGUGGAUGCCCUGGCAGUCAGAGGCGAUGAAGGGCGUGCUAAUCUGCGAUAAGCGCCGGUAAGGUGAUAUGAACCGUUAUAACCGGCGAUACCCGAAUGGGGAAACCCAGUGUGAUUCGUCACACUAUCAUUAACUGAAUCCAUAGGUUAAUGAGGCGAACCGGGGGAACUGAAACAUCUAAGUACCCCGAGGAAAAGAAAUCAACCGAGAUUCCCCCAGUAGCGGCGAGCGAACGGGGAGGAGCCCAGAGCCUGAAUCAGCAUGUGUGUUAGUGGAAGCGUCUGGAAAGGCGCGCGAUACAGGGUGACAGCCCCGUACACAAAAGCGCAUGUGCUGUGAGCUCGAUGAGUAGGGCGGGACACGUGGUAUCCUGUCUGAAUAUGGGGGGACCAUCCUCCAAGGCUAAAUACUCCUGACUGACCGAUAGUGAACCAGUACCGUGAGGGAAAGGCGAAAAGAACCCCGGCGAGGGGAGUGAAAAAGAACCUGAAACCGUGUACGUACAAGCAGUGGGAGCACCCUUUGGGUGUGACUGCGUACCUUUUGUAUAAUGGGUCAGCGACUUAUAUUCUGUAGCAAGGUUAACCGAAUAGGGGAGCCGGAGGGAAACCGAGUCUUAACCGGGCGUUAAGUUGCAGGGUAUAGACCCGAAACCCGGUGAUCUAGCCAUGGGCAGGUUGAAGGUUGGGUAACACUAACUGGAGGACCGAACCGACUAAUGUUGAAAAAUUAGCGGAUGACCUGUGGCUGGGGGUGAAAGGCCAAUCAAACCGGGAGAUAGCUGGUUCUCCCCGAAAGCUAUUUAGGUAGCGCCUCGUGAAUUCAUCUCCGGGGGUAGAGCACUGUUUCGGCUAGGGGGCCAUCCCGGCUUACCAACCCGAUGCAAACUGCGAAUACCGGAGAAUGUUAUCACGGGAGACACACGGCGGGUGCUAACGUCCGUCGUGAAGAGGGAAACAACCCAGACCGCCAGCUAAGGUCCCAAAGUCAUGGUUAAGUGGGAAACGAUGUGGGAAGGCCCAGACAGCCAGGAUGUUGGCUUAGAAGCAGCCAUCAUUUAAAGAAAGCGUAAUAGCUCACUGGUCGAGUCGGCCUGCGCGGAAGAUGUAACGGGGCUAAACCAUGCACCGAAGCUGCGGCAGCGACACUGUGUGUUGUUGGGUAGGGGAGCGUUCUGUAAGCCUGUGAAGGUGUGUCGUGAGGCAUGCUGGAGGUAUCAGAAGUGCGAAUGCUGACAUAAGUAACGAUAAAGCGGGUGAAAAGCCCGCUCGCCGGAAGACCAAGGGUUCCUGUCCAACGUUAAUCGGGGCAGGGUGAGUCGACCCCUAAGGCGAGGCCGAAAGGCGUAGUCGAUGGGAAACGGGUUAAUAUUCCCGUACUUGGUGUUACUGCGAAGGGGGGACGGAGAAGGCUAUGUUGGCCGGGCGACGGUUGUCCCGGUUUAAGCGUGUAGGUGUGUGUUCCAGGUAAAUCCGGUUCACUUUAACACUGAGGCGUGACGACGAGGCACUACGGUGCUGAAGCAACAAAUGCCCUGCUUCCAGGAAAAGCCUCUAAGCAUCAGGUAACAUCAAAUCGUACCCCAAACCGACACAGGUGGUCAGGUAGAGAAUACCAAGGCGCUUGAGAGAACUCGGGUGAAGGAACUAGGCAAAAUGGUGCCGUAACUUCGGGAGAAGGCACGCUGACACGUAGGUGAAGUGAUUUACUCAUGGAGCUGAAGUCAGUCGAAGAUACCAGCUGGCUGCAACUGUUUAUUAAAAACACAGCACUGUGCAAACACGAAAGUGGACGUAUACGGUGUGACGCCUGCCCGGUGCCGGAAGGUUAAUUGAUGGGGUCAG